AAAAGAAAUGUGAUUGUAAAAUAAAAUCUCACCCUCUGUCUCUGAUCCUCAAUUUCAGCUCCCAAUGGAGGAAAAACCAGAAAACGAAGAAGAAAAAGGAGCGAUUCACAAUAUCCCUUGGGCUUUUCUUGGGGACAUUCUUUCAAGACUCGAUGCCAAAUCUCUUAAACGGUGCGAGUGCGUCUCUAAAUCUUGGCUCUCCCUAAUACGGAACUGGGAUUUCAUCCAUCUCCACCUCAAGCGUCAACUACCUUGUGUAGUUUUUCUUCAGAAAAAGGUUAGAAGGUUCAAUUACACAUUGUCGACUUGUAAUUGGGAAAAUUUUGCUGAGAUUUCUUCGCAAAAAUUUCCCAAAUUUAAGAGGCGUCGCCCACCUCUGUUAUUGUUUAUGGGCAGUGAUAAUGGUAUAUUAGGCCUUUACGACUUGAGGAAUAAAAAGGUUUAUUUAUGGAACCCCACCAUUAAGGUGUCUAAAACGCUGUCAUUUUCUCCUCAUUCGGAGCUUAAUCAUUCUGUACUUGGGCUCGGCUAUGACCCCUUCACCACUGAUUUCAAAGUGGUAAUGGUCUCAUGUCCAGUCGAGAAAGGUGUUAUUGGCACUCAUAAUUUGUUUAAAGCGGGUAACCAAGUUGGGAUUUAUAGUUUGAGAAGCAAUUCAUGGAAAACAAUGGCAAUGCCUGACAUAUUUUCAGAUUUUGAACCAUAUACUUCUGACAUAAUUAUUUAUACUUCUCUGAGUUGCUCCAUUGUUGUUAAUGAGGCCAUUCAUUGGAAGAUUUGCUAUAGAAAUUCACUUUAUCAUGACCAGUUAUCUUUAGGGAUAGUUGCUUUUGGUCUACGUAUGGAGAAUUUUAAGCUUAUAAAGUCACCUCAAAUUGUAGAAGGAUCUCAUGUUAAAAAGCUAGCUAACUUUUCUGGGUGUCUUUCUUUUUUCACUUUCGAUGAGGUCCAAGUAGUUGAGGUCUGGGUGAUGAAGAAAUAUGGUGACUCGGAAUCUUGGUUCAAAUACUUGUCUGUCAAUUUACUUAGUCUUCUUCCGAAUUGGGUUGGCCGACAUCCUAUCUGCACUCCAGUAAGUUUUUUGAGCAACGGUAUUCUUGUAAUUUCUUGCAUUGAAACUGGAUAUUGGUGUUGGUAUGAUACUAAGAGUAAGAGGCUUGAAAAUAUGUGUCGAAGGUUUGGUGUGUCAGACUUCACUACAUAUGUUGAGAGUAUUUUUUUAAGUGAAAAGGGUGAGAAUUUUGUGGCCUGUGAUUGAUGGAUCAUUGCUUCUCUCCUUUUUGGGUGAUGUUUCAACAGUAUAACAGUGCUACAACUGGCUUCUCAUGAGCUGAAUCUAUGCUUCCUUGACUGAAGGCAUGCUUACUCAGAUUGCGGAAUACUCUAUUGCCAAGGACAUUUGGGAUGCCCUUUCUCAGAUCUAUUCUGCUAGCACCAUGGCUCGUAUCUUUGAGCUACGCACUUCUCUUCAGACUAUUUGGAAAGCGGGCCUGCUAUGUGAGAAACUGUGGUAUUCAUCAGAAAUUUGUUCCUCAAAGGGGGGCAAUAUUGGAGUGGACAGCGGGGUACUUUUCUGAUUUUUGGGAAAUGAAUAACGGUGUUAGAAGUCGUGGACCUCGCCCACCUCAGAAAUGGAAGCCACCUGAUGUGAAUGAGCUUUUGGUUAAUGUUGAUGCUGCGAUGGAUGUAUCUAAUGGCUGCUGUAGUACUGGGACUGUGGUGAGAAAUCAUCUUGGCAAUGUAGUAGCAUCUCAAGGUACAUUGGUUGAAAGACCCUUCUCCCCUCUUCUUGCUGAAUUGAUAGCCAUUAAACAUGGAAUUGGACUGGUAAAAUCUCUAGCUCUAGAGAGGUGUAUGGUGGAAUCAUAUUGUAGUAUGGCUGUGCAAUGCUAAAUAGACCAUACGAGGAAAGUGAGACAUUUGAUUUGAUGGUUGCUGAUAUCUGCAGGGAGGCAUCUGAAGUUGGCCUCAAGGGUAUAAGAUUCAGUCCUAGAACUACUAGUAGAGUUGUAAAACUUCUGGCUUUUAGAAUGGAGGAGUUCCUCCAAUGGCUGUCUCAGUUUUGCUGGAGGAUAUGCUUUUCCUGUUUAAGUUUGGUUGAUAUCUGUAUUCUCUUUUAAAAAAAAAAAUAAAAAAUUUAAAGUGACACAUAACAACAUUUUUUCAAAAGUCCAAAGUCAAUUUGCAUUUCUCAGUCGUGUCGGCC